rnacentral:rRNA from 1 species
GCUUAACACAUGCAAGUCGAGCGAGAAUCGUUUAUUGAAGGCUUCGGCUGGAAAUAGAUGAGGAAAGCGGCGAACGGGUGAGUAACGCGUGGGCAACCUGGCCUUAAGAAAAGGAUAGCCCCCGGAAACGGGGAGUAAUACUUUAUGAGAAUGAGAGAGGGCAUCCUACUUUCAUUCAAAGCGCAUGCGCUUAAGGAUGGGCCCGCGUAUCAUUAGCUAGUUGGUGAGAUAACAGCCCACCAAGGCAACGAUGAUUAGCCGGUCUGAGAGGGCGAACGGCCACAUUGGAACUGAGAGACGGUACAAACUCCUACGGGAGGCAGCAGUGGGGAAUAUUGCGCAAUGGAGAAGAACUCUGACGCAGCAAUACCGCGUGAGCGAAGAAGGUCUUCGGAUCGUAAAGCUCUGUUAUCAGGGAAGAAGAAAAUGACGGUACCUGAUGAGCAAGUCCCGGCUAACUACGUGCCAGCAGCCGCAGUAACAC